rnacentral:rRNA from 1 species
GAUAAACGCUGGCGGCGUGCAUGAGACAUGCAAGUCGAACGGGUGACUCGGAGCUUGCUCUGAGUCGCUAGUGGCGGACGGCUGAGUAACGCGUAGGUGACCUACCCCGAAGUGGGGAAUAACUGCCCGAAAGGGUGGCUAAUACCGCAUGUGAUCGGUCAUUCAAUUGAUUGAUCAAAGCAGCAAUGCGCUUUGGGAGGGGCCUGCGUCCGAUUAGCUCGUUGGUGGGGUAAUGGCUCACCAAGGCGACGAUCGGUAGGUGGUCUGAGAGGACGAUCACCCAGACUGGGACUGAGACACGGCCCAGACUCCUACGGGAGGCAGCAGUCGGGAAUUUUGCUCAAUGGACGAAAGUCUGAAGCAGCAACGCCGCGUGAGGGAUGAAGGCCUUCGGGUUGUAAACCUCUUUUCUCAGGGAAGAUAAUGACGGUACCUGAGGAAUAAGCCACGGCUAACUACGUGCCAGCCGCCGCAGUAAGAC